rnacentral:rRNA from 1 species
AGAGUUUGAUCCUGGCUCAGAUUGAACGCUGGCGGCAGGCCUAACACAUGCAAGUCGAGCGGAUGAAGAGAGCUUGCUCUCUGAUUCAGCGGCGGACGGGUGAGUAAUGCCUAGGAAUCUGCCUGAUAGUGGGGGACAACGUUUCGAAAGGAACGCUAAUACCGCAUACGUCCUACGGGAGAAAGCAGGGGACUUCGGGCCUUGCGCUAUCAGAUGAGUCUAGGUCGGAUUAGCUAGUUGGUGAGGUCACACUGGAACUGAGACACGGUCCAGACUCUACGGGAGGCAGCAGUGGGGAAUAUUGGACAAUGGGCGAAAGCCUGAUCCAGCCAUGCCGCGUGUGUGAAGAAGGUCUUCGGAUUGUAAAGCACUUUAAGUUGGGAGGAAGGGCAUUAACCUAAUACGUUAGUGUUUUGACGUUACCGACAGAAUAAGCACCGGCUAACUUCGUGCCAGCAGCCGCGGUAAUACGAAGGGUGCAAGCGUUAAUCGGAAUUACUGGGCGUAAAGCGCGCGUAGGUGGUUUGUUAAGUUGAAUGUGAAAGCCCCGGGCUCAACCUGGGAACUGCAUCCAAAACUGGCAAGCUAGAGUAUGGCAGAGGGUGGUGGAAUUUCCUGUGUAGCGGUGAAAUGCGUAGAUAUAGGAAGGAACACCAGUGGCGAAGGCGACCACCUGGGCUAAUACUGACACUGAGGUGCGAAAGCGUGGGGAGCAAACAGGAUUAGAUACCCUGGUAGUCCACGCCGUAAACGAUGUCGACUAGCCGUUGGGAUCCUUGAGAUCUUAGUGGCGCACGUAACGCAUUAAGUCGACCGCCUGGGGAGUACGGCCGCAAGGUUAAAACUCAAAUGAAUUGAC